CUGCUUACUUCAGUAGCACAUAUACUAAAAUUGGAACAAUACAGAGAAGAGUAGCAUGGCAAGGAUGACACACAAAUUUGUGAAAUGUUCCAUAUUAAA
rnacentral:snRNA from 1 species